UACGGGAGGCAGCAGUGGGGAAUAUUGCACAAUGGGCGAAAGCCUGAUGCAGCUAUGCCGCGUGUAUGAAGAAGGCCUUAGGGUUGUAAAGUACUUUCAUCGGGGAGGAAAAACAAAACUAAUAAUUUUAUUUCUUGACGUUACCCGAAAAAGAAGCACCGGCUAACUCCGUGCCAGCAGCCGCGGUAAUACGGAGGGUGCUAGCGUUAAUCAGAAUUACUGGGCGUAAAGAGCACGUAGGUGGUUUUUUUAAGUCAGAUGUGAAAUCCCUGGGCUUAACCUAGGAACUGCAUUUUGAAACUGAAAUACUAGAGUAUCGUAGAGGGAGGUAGAAUUCUAGGUGUAGCGGUGAAAUGCGUAGAUAUCUGGAGGAAUACCUGUGGCGAAAGCGGCCUCCUAAACGAAUACUGACACUGAGGGUGCGAAAGCGUGGGGAGCAAACAGGGAUUAGAUACCCGU
rnacentral:rRNA from 1 species